rnacentral:rRNA from 1 species
AUUGAACGCUGGCGGCAUGCCUUACACAUGCAAGUCGAACGGCAGCGGGGGAGAAGCUUGCUUUUCCUGCCGGCGAGUGGCGAACGGGUGAGUAAUACAUCGGAACGUGCCCUGUAUUGGGGGAUAACUAGUCGAAAGAUUAGCUAAUACCGCAUACGACCUGAGGGUGAGAGUGGGGGACCGCAAGGCCUCAUGCUAUAGGAGCGGCCGAUGUCUGAUUAGCUAGUUGGUGGGGUAAAGGCCUACCAAGGCGACGAUCAGUAGCUGGUCUGAGAGGACGAUCAGCCACACUGGGACUGAGACACGGCCCAGACUCCUACGGGAGGCAGCAGUGGGAAAUUUUGGACAAUGGGCGAAAGCCUGAUCCAGCAAUGCCGCGUGUGUGAAGAAGGCCUUCGGGUUGUAAAGCACUUUUGUCCGGAAAGAAAUGGCUCUGGUUAAUACCUGGGGUCGAUGACGGUACCGGAAGAAUAAGGACCGGCUAACUACGUGCCAGCCGCCGCUGUAACAC